UUGUUGAUUUUUAAUUGCCAUGUAAACGGACUCAUAAUCCGUUGGUCGACAGUUCAAGUCUGUCUGGGCCCACCA
rnacentral:tRNA from 2 species